GCAGCACCCUCUGUGGCCUUCCGGUUCCUGUCCUGAGUGCCUGCCCUGACUUCCUUCAGUAAUUAGCAACGAUGCAGAAGCACAAGCCAAGAAGUCUGGAUAAGGACAUGGAAGAAGGAAGGAAGCCUCUCCCUUUGCCUGCUUGUUCCUGCUGGGAAGUCCAUUCCUUCACUGCAUUAGAGCUUACUUCUUUGGGAUUCUGGCAUAUACUGAAGACCAUGAGGCUGGAUGGUUGGACAUUGCAUUGGUAGACAGUCAUUGUUGGACUAGCUGGACCACAGCCUGUAAAACAGUGGCUGAUUUGGUGGGCUUUAUUGAGAACCUUAGGUAGGCAUGCGCAUGCGGCUGAGGUUUAGUUCACAGCAGCGGCACCACCUUCAGUUUCCAGCUGAGCUUCUUUCUGCUUCUGGCCAGCCCCAUGGAGCAUCUGUGAGCCUUUGAUCUGCCUGCUCCCUUCCUCCUCACCCUCUGCCAUGCUGUGACUCAGAUCAUCUCCUCCUGCUCUGCACACCUGGCUACAGCUGUCUCCUCAAGCAAGUGGCUUAUGAACAAAUUUGUCUAAACAAGGACUUUUUCUUUGUGG